UAAGUGAUGCAGUUAUCUGUAAAACAAAUCGGAAAAUAAUAAAGAUACAUUUUCACUUUUUGGCCAAUUUAUGUGAGCUUGCUUCGAUUCAAGCAGACAGCUUUUAAAAAUUUCGCUCAAAAGUAACAAUCCUUGUUGUACACCCCACUUUGAAAGUGCCUCUCACCAGAGGGCGAGCGUUGGGGCGAGCCUUGGGCGAGCCGGGCGAGGUUGAUGCCAACGUUGGUUGAUGCAGACGCAGAGCGCAGGCCGCUGGGCAACAAGACCAGGGAAAGAGCGGAGCGGAGCAACGACGAAAACGAAAGGUGGCCGAGACCGAGAAGCGUUGACAAGUGAGGCUUGGCCUGAAGAGCGUUUUGAAUUGGAAAAUUCUUUGAAGAGUGCAGACUUGUGCUUUCGGAAGACUCGAUCCGAAAAGAUUUUGAAGGAAGGUUGGUGUGUGUUAAGAUCUUGGAGGCGAUUUGCAUUUUGUCUUCUCUUGUUAUUCUGCUGCUGCGUCUGGUUUGAAGAAACAAAUCAAAAUGCCCAAUCUAAGCAGAUCGUUUAGAAUUUACCCUGGAUCAUCCCUCCCAUAUGUCAUCCAACUGCAGCACCAAGGAGUUGUCAAUGGAGGCAAAAUCCUUCUUAACCCUGCUUUGGCUGACUGGGUGAAUUUUGGUCGCCGCAGCACAAAGAUAUUCCCGAGGAAGAGGAAACCAUCAUCAGAAUGUCUAAACUCAAUGGACUUGGAAAAGUUGUUGGAGAUCCAACCCACUUUGGACUGCUCGGCUACUAUGCAGGAUCCCCUCAACUUGACAUGUUCGCUCCCAUGUAGUUGCUCGACAACGUUGAUGUUGAGGUGGGUGCAUUUGUGAAGUUGAACGUUGCCAAGCUGCAAGUGGCUGAACUGAUCGUGAUUAUGCCACCGAAAUGGAGGUUGAUGCAAACUUGGCCAAAGAAGCUGUGAAGAACUUCCUGCGACAACUUGUGGCCAUGAGCAAGGGAGACGCGUUCAAACUUGACUUUGGAGAACAUCGUGAUGUUCCUUUUGAGGUGGUUGAGACAAGACACCCGAAAAGUUUGUCAGGUUUGAAGGCUUCGCGGCUGAGCCUCACUUUGAACUGAUAGUGCUCUCUGGAGAGCAAGACCAAGCUCCCGAAGCAGAAUGAAGUAGAAAUAACCAUUUGGUCAACAGUGGUGGUGACGAUGACAAUAGUGCAUCGGAGGAAGAAGUCAAUAUCAACGACCAUGAAGAGGAAAAUGAUGCACCAAGUGCAGGAAGCAUGAUUGAUGAUCAGCAUGGCCAAAAUGAGAUCCAAAUUGAAACUGAAGAUGAGGAUGAAAGUCGCCAGGACGAGUCAACUGAAGACGAGGAUGAUGACAUGGAAAGGCCUGUGAACCUUUCUUUCAUCCGGGAGAUGAGGUUGAAAAAGUUUGACUAGCUGCUAGGAUAAGUUACCCUCUUAAGUGUAAAAUAUUUUAUUUUUAAUAGGAAUUGAAAUAAAAACGAUGCAUAGACGAAAGUUUGGAAAAUAUUUUUCCCACAAUGAUACAUA